rnacentral:lncRNA from 1 species
AUGACAGAAGCCUUUGAAGAUGGAGUCUACUUGGUCAAAGUGCUAGCGCAGGUGAUGACAAGAGACGACAGCACAGGAGGAUGGGUUCCUAUGGGAGGUGGGGGCCUGUCAAACGUGUCUGUCCGAAAGCGUCUCAUCACCACAGCCCCACCGAGGACAACAAGUUCGAAUAUCUCAUUUCGGGAAAAGAAUCUUGGAUCAAUCGGUAAGAUCAAUUUUGCCUCCUCUAUCCUCGUGGAUGUUUAAAUUAGAGCCACCAUUAUGCAUGGAAAGCAUUAAUAAGUUUAUGUACGCAGGGCUUGUCAUUUUGAAUGAAAAAUUUUGCGUAAAAACUAUUUCAAAUUAUGUGUUUCAAAACGAACAUAUCCAUUAUAAUGUUAAAUAAUCUUACCAUAUGUGUUUGGAAAAUCAGGGAUGUGUCAGGAAACCGCCCUGAUUUUUCAGAAACAUUAUGGUAACAUUCUCUGACAUUAGAGGAUAUGUUUGGUGUUAAAAACACAAAAUUUGAAAUAGUUUUUAUGCACAAUUUUUCGUUCAAAAUGACAAGCCCUGCGUACUUAAACAUAUUUCUGCUUUUCAUGCAUUUCAUUUUCUAAAUUCUGUAUCAACCCUGCUGAUAGGGACGUGUUAAUACAUGAUGACCAAUCCCCCACCCAUUAUUCUUCUUCAUUAUUUUUUUCAUCAUUCCAUUUUUCUGACUAGCCCUGCUACCAUUUCGUUUCUAGGGCCUAACAAUUUUAUAUAAGUGCAGGUUAAAAAUAGCAUAACAAUAGGUUUCAUUCUCUCGCAGUACCUUGAAUCUCUCCUCAAUUAAAGUCAAAUUACUUAGUGCUCAGUUUAAAAAUAAAUUUUGUAUGCUAUAUUGAGAAAACUGCUUUCAAUGCCUUUUUAUUGCACUAUUGGUAACAUAUUGAUGGUACUAUUGAAAAAUGGCAACUCUAACGCCUCUUGAAUCCAAAUUUGCUGCCAGCUGCUAUUUAUGAGCCUUGAGAUUAAUAAAAAUUGUUGGAAUAUUAGAGCAUCUUGGAAGGAGGUUGGUGACCUCAGGGAGUAUAGAUAAUCUUGUCUUUGGCUCUCUUGAAAAUGGUUUGGUCUAUGGAAAAGUCUUCCUUUAAUAUGUGUUUAAAUUUUAUUCCGCGUUGAAUC